UCCGCCAGAAGUAAACUGUUGGUCCGGCGUGAACGGUAUCCCAACCAAGAAAGGCCACGGCUUAACUACGUGGCCAGCAGCCGGCGGUAAUUACGUAGGUCGCCAAGCGUUAUCCCGGAUUUAUUGGGGCGUAAAAGCGAGCCGCAGGCGGUUUUUUUAAGUCUGAUGUGAAAAGCCCUCGGCUUACCCGAGGAAGCGCAUCGGAAACUGGGAAACUUGAGUGCAGAAGAGGACAGUGGAACUCCAUGUGUAGCGGUGAAAUGCGUAGAUAUAUGGAAGAACACCAGUGGCGAAGGCGGCUGUCUGGUCUGUAACUGACGCUGAGGCUCGAAAGCAUGGGUAGCGAACAGGAUUAGAUACCCUGGUAGUCCAUGCCGUAAACGAUGAAUGCUAGGUGUUGGAGGGUUUCCGCCCUUCAGUGCCGCAGCUAACGCAUUAAGCAUUCCGCCUGGGGAGUACGACCGCAAGGUUGAAACUCAAAGGAAUUGACGGGGGCCCGCACAAGCGGUGGAGCAUGUGGUUUAAUUCGAAGCAACGCGAAGAACCUUACCAGGUCUUGACAUCUUUUGAUCACCUGAGAGAUCAGGUUUCCCCUUCGGGGGCAAAAUGACAGGUGGUGCAUGGUUGUCGUCAGCUCGUGUCGUGAGAUGUUGGGUUAAGUCCCGCAACGAGCGCAACCCUUAUGACUAGUUGCCAGCAUUUAGUUGGGCACUCUAGUAAGACUGCCGGUGACAAACCGGAGGAAGGUGGGGAUGACGUCAAAUCAUCAUGCCCCUUAUGACCUGGGCUACACACGUGCUACAAUGGAUGGUACAACGAGUUGCGAGACCGCGAGGUCAAGCUAAUCUCUUAAAGCCAUUCUCAGUUCGGACUGUAGGCUGCAACUCGCCUACACGAAGUCGGAAUCGCUAGUAAUCGCGGAUCAGCACGCCGCGGUGAAUACGUUCCCGGGCCUUGUACACACCGCCCGUCACACCAUGAGAGUUUGUAACACCCGAAGCCGGUGGCGUAACCCUUUUAGGAGCGAGCCGUCUAAGGUGACAAGACCAG
rnacentral:rRNA from 1 species